CCUAUAGGGAUAAUCCUAGGUAACGUAUACAGGAAUGGGCUUGGUAGCCACAGAAUAGAGUAACAUGCUA
rnacentral:tRNA from 1 species